UUAAACUACCAAGUAAAAUUGUCAAUUUUGUGACUUUUGAUCUUAAGGUAAAUAAUGUCAAUUUUGUGACAUUUUGAUCUUAAGGUAAAUAAUGUUAAAAAAUUAUAAAAUUUGAUUUCUAGAAGUUUUAAAUGUUCUAGAUAAUGUUUAACUGUAUGGAUCAACGAUUCGGAAGCUCUAUUAUCAAAAACGACUUAUGAGUACGAGGGCGAUAGUACUCAUAAGAGUAUAGUAGUCGAACUAUAUAUAUAUAUAUAUAUAUAGAGAGAGAGAGAGAGAGAGAGAGAGAGAGAGAGAGAGAGAGAGAGAGGAGGGCUGUUGUGCUCUCAGGAGCACGAAGGCCUCUAUGCUCCUGAGCCGUUUUCAAUGAUGGAAUUUUCGAAUCGACGAUCGGCUCCGUUAGACUUGAUCUAGCGUAUUUGAAGUUGCUAGAAAAUAAUAUUUGCGAUUUUUGAUAUCAUUUACCUAGUGAUCGAAAGGAUUCAAAAUCAAUAAUUUUUAACGACUGAAAAUAAAAAUCCUAUAAAGAGUGGUGAUAUAAUACUAAAAUUUUCGAUUAGAAAUAUUGAUCUUGUUAUAGAUACUAUAAAAAAUGUUGUAUCAAAAUUUUAUUUGAUUUGAAUACUUCUACACCGGUAAACUUGAAAACGGCAGAUAUCAACCAUUAAAAAUUAUGAGCUAGAAUACUCUCGAUAGUAAACGGAGCGUUUUACUAUCGAGUUGUUUUCGAUGAUAGAGCUUCCAAAUUGACGAUCGGCUCCGUUAAAUAUGAUCUAAACCAUUUAAACUACCUAGAAAUCAAAUUUCUAGUUUUCAAUAAAAUUCUGCUACUAUACAUUUAUUAGUAUGAUCGUCUUCACACUCAUAAAUAGUUUUCAAUAAUAUAGCUUCCGAAUCGACGAUUCAUACGAUUAAAUGUUAUCUCAAGUAUUUAGAACUUUUAAAAAUCAAAUUUCAAAAUUUUUUGAUAUUGUUUACCUUACGAUAAAAAAGAUCUCAAAAUUAAUAAUUUUUAACAGCCGGUAUGACAUAUUUGCUAGUUUAACAAUAAAAAAAAUUAAAAUUGGUUGAAUUUUUACUAAAAAAUUCUAUUUACUAUCUAGAUAAAGAUAAAUAACUUUGAUCUAAAAUUGAAAUAUCGGAUCAUUCAUUUUUAAACGCCUUUCGAUUUUCGCCGUUCAUUUUAUAUCUGCUUGAUGGAUUUUAUUAUAAUUUUGAAAAAUUACGAAAUUCAUUUUCGAUAAGUUUUUCAAAUAUACUAGAUCAUAUUUAACAACAGCGUGGAUCGUUGACUAGAAAGGCCCCCCAGCAUUGAGAAAAAUUUAUGAAUACAAAUAGCUCUACACUUAUAAGAUUAUAGUAGCCCUUCUCACUCUCUCUGUAUAUAUAUUAUUACUGUUUGGUUUUCAU
rnacentral:lncRNA from 1 species